UCGGAUCAUAUAAAACCUAUGUGAAUUGUCAUAACAAUCAUAGAUACCUACCACAACUUUACUCUUUUCUCUCUUCUCUUUCUUCUAGAAUCGUCAUCUUCUCACCGGAUUUUCAACAUUGAAUCAAGAUCAAAGAUCCGCCUAUAUAUCUUGAAGAUCCGACCAUAAAUCUUGAAGUUAAUGAUUUUGGUUGUUGUAUUUUUUUCAUGUGAUUCCUUACAUCCGUUAUAACAAUCUGAAUCCCACCAUUCGUCAAGCAACAGAGAUCCGACCAUAAAUCUUGAAGUUAAUGAUUUUGGUUGUUGUAUUUUUUCAUGUGAUUCCUUACAUCCGUUAUAACAAUCUGAAUCCCACCAUUCGUCAAGCAACAGAGUUAUAGAUAUUUAUUUCUGAACCGAGUCUGUCCUCCAUAGUUUUUUCUGAUUUUUCUAUUUGAAAUUGAGGUUUUGUUUUGAUCAAAGUUGGGUUAUGCAGGUAAAUGGGGUUAUCUACAAAUUUUGAUGGUACACGGCUUUUCAUUAUUGACAAUUUUGAUCAGAUGCUGACAUUUAAGGAAAAAAUCUUAAUACCAUGUUGGGUCGAAGAUGCUGGAGAAUGAACUGAAGCGUAAUUUGGAUGCCGUUUAUGAUGUGGAUUUAUGUUCUUCUCAGUCUUCCACUAAACCGCCUAAGGGUGAUUGUGAGAACAAUGAAGGUUUGAAUGUGAAGGUGGGUCUUUUGAAUCCAAAGCUGGAAAAGUAGUCUCAGAAUCUAAUAGUCAUCUCAGUUUCUUCAAACAGUUUUCAAUGUUUUUUUCGUUCAAUCGUAUUCAGAACAUUUAUGUCAGUACUUGAUGUUGCUUUUUACUCAAUGUUUGUUGCGGUUUAUCUUGAUUUUCGUUUAUUAUUGUUAUAUCAAUAAGAGAUGAUAUUAUUAAUUAGCA